GAAUGAUUGAGACUCCUGGAGCUCAUCUUUGCACAUCUUAGAUCUACGGGGUUUCAUCAGUCUGCAAACCAAGUGCUGGGCUGAAAGAAGCCAUUUAACAAGCAGCAAAUAAGAGUGGAGUUGGACUAUGACAGGAUAAUAGAUUUUUCUGCCAGGAAAAAAAAGAUGUGCAGUCAUUACCUCAAGGAACAAAGAAUGUAAAGAGGAGCUUAAAACUGAGACUUUGUUCUGGAAAGCAUUUCUGUGGUGACCCAGUGUGACUUCAAACAAUGCAAGUUGACCUAGCUCUUCACCUUACCUCAGGACUUCUCAGAUGGCCCACGAGGGUCAACACACAAACCAAAAGUGCUGGAGAUUGCAAGUCCCAUCAGAUGAUGAUGAAGUGGAUGUUGUUCUCAUUAUUCCUGCCUCAGGAUGUGGUGGACCACCAUCUGCAGAUGCCGUCAGGUUUAUCAAUCACAAAGAGGGAAACAGGCAUCUGAAAGUGGCUGGCAAUCAAGAAUACUACAGGAAGCUUGCUUUUGGAAGGACAUAUAUUCUUACCUGGUUCCUAUUUCCUUAUGAAUUUUCUUGGCUUAAUGCAUUUAGUUUUAUAAUUUGUGUUCUGCUCCCACCACUAAUUUAUUCCCUUGCUUACCAAUUUAUCCAGAUAAAGGUCUUGAGACUACAAAACGUAACGAUGAGUCAUUCCAAACACUAUUUCUUAUGUUUACUUUGCGCUGACAAUAGCUAG
rnacentral:lncRNA from 12 species